rnacentral:lncRNA from 1 species
AGGGUUACAGCUAAGGAAAGGAUAAAUGGGAGAGAAGAACAGGACAUCCUCACCACCAUCGUCUUAGCAUCAAAGACCCUCUUUUUUCUUCUUCCAAAUUCUGUUCUUGUAAUUUUGUUACAAUCCAACCAUGGCUUCCUCUAGCAAUUCUAAGAGACCCUUUUGUUCUUCUUCUUCUUCUAAUUCUAAAUGGAGGUACGAUGUGUUCUUGAGUUUCAGAGGCGAGGAUACCCGCAACAACUUUACUAGUCAUCUCUACAAGGAUUUGGAUAAGGCCAACAUUAAAACCUUUAAAGAUGAUGAAGAACUUCGAAAGGGAGGAGAGAUUGCACCCGAGCUCCUAAAAGCUAUUGAAGAAUCAAGGAUCGCCAUUAUCGUCUUCUCGAAAACCUAUGCUCAUUCCAAGUGGUGCUUGGAUGAACUCGUCAAGAUCAUGGAGUGCCAGAAAGAAAAGGGACAAAUAGUUUAUCCCGUUUUCUAUCACGUACGGCCGUGUGAAGUCAGGAACCAGUAUGGGACUUAUGGAGAAGAAUUUAAGAAACACGAGAGCAAUGCGGACGAGGAGAAGAAGAAGAAAAUAGGGGAGUGGAGGACUGCCUUAAGGAAAGCCGGUGAUUUGAGUGGAUUUAGUCUGCGGGAUAGGUAAUCCCUACUUCACUUUUUCCAUUUCCAAUUUUCUGUCAGUUUAUUUUCAUUCUUGUUAGUAAAUAAAAUAUUUAUGAUUACAUAUAUCAAUCAAAAUCCAGUUUUUAAGUAGUAGACAUUAAUAUGUUUGAUUUCUUGGAAAGUAAUAAGAAGAGUUAAAAAUAAAUAAAAAUAAAAAUUUAAAAAAUUUGAUUUUCUUAUAUUUAAUGUAUUAUUAAAAAAUAUGAAAGAAAAUAAAAAUAUAAUUAAAAUACAUUGUAAAAAUAUAUAUAAUUAGUUUAUAAUUAAAAUAAUCUUAGAAAAUCUAUAGUAGUUGUUCUGGGCUCAUUCAGGCCCAACAGGUAAUCCCUAUUUCACUUUUUCCAUUACCAAUUUUCUGUCGGUUUAUUUUCAUUCUUGUUAAUAAAUAAAAUAUUUAUGAUUACAUUUAUCAAUCAAAAUCCAUUUUUAAGUAGUAGACAUUAAUAUGUUUGAUUUCUUGGAAAGUAAUAAGAAAGAGUAAAAAAAAAAAUUGACUUUCUCACAUUUAAUUUAUUAUUAAAAUUAUAAAAGGAAAUCAAAUAUAAUUAAAAUAUAUCGAAAAAAAAAAUAUUUGCCUACAAUUGGGAUAAUAUUAGAAAAUCUAUAGUAGGUGUUGUGGGCUCAUUCAGGCCCAGGUAAUACUGGUAAAAAAAUAAAAUAAAAUAAUUAUGCCAAAUGCCAAGUUUUGAAUUGUUAAAAAUCUUUAAGAUUCCAAAAUAUUCUUCCUUUCUAAUCAAUCCAUCUCAGCCAUAAUUUCUAUCAAUUAAAUUGUUCAAAUUGGUUAUUUAUAUGCUUUGUAAAUUUGGAGAUAAUCUGAGAUGAUUAUUUAAAAUAUUGUAAUACUACCCUAAAUUUUUUUGGACCCUCUUAUGGGACAAAAAACUUAGUUAUUGCACCCUUAACCUUUUUCAAUUUUAGAGGAAUUUUCUAUUACUAAAAUAAUUUUCUCAUGUUCUCUGUGCACUACAUGAGUUUACAUUUCUUCUUUACUUAAUAUUGUUUGUUCCUCUAUAUUUGCAAGUUGAUUAUUAAAUUUAUUUACCUUUUAAUCUAAUGUUUGUAUCUCGUUUUAUUCUAAUUAUCCCAUGACAUCUGGAUAAUCUCUUCUUAAGACCUUGACAUGACAUAAUGAAAUUUUAUUUAAACAUGCAAUUCAACACAUUUUUAAUUUACAUUCUAUUUGACCUUAAUUUAAUUGCACCGAACUAAAGAUCAUUCUAUAAUUUCCAUUUACUUCAUCUUUGUUUUCUUUGACAAUUGAUUGUAGCUUACUCCAUGUUUUAUUGUACUUUAUAAUGGACAGAUCUGAGGCAGAGUUUAUUGAAGAAAUCAUUGGUGAGAUUCGAAGAUUAAUUCCUAAGUGGGUACAUGUUGGUGAGAAUAUUGUUGGAAUGGAUGAAAAUUUGAAAAAAGUGAAGUUAUUGAUAGAUGCCCAAUCAAAUAAAGUGAGUAUGGUUGGGAUUUAUGGGACUGGUGGGAUUGGUAAAACUACCAUCGCCAAGGUUGUUUACAAUGAUAUGUUAGAUCAAUUUAAAUGUCACAGCUUUCUUGAAAAUGUGAGAGAGAAAUAUGAAGAUAAAGGUGAUUUGCUUCAAUUACAAAAAGAACUUCUUUGUGAUAUCCUAAUGGAGAAAAAUCUGGUGUUAAGGAAUAUUGAUGAAGGAUUUAAAAAGAUAAAGAGUAAGCGUCACUCUGAAAAGGUUCUUAUUGUUCUUGAUGAUGUAGGUUGUGAAGAACAAUUAAAAUUCUUAGCUCCUAAUUCUGAAUGUUUUCAUCCAGGAAGCAUAAUCAUUGUGACCACGAGAAAUAAGCGUUGCCUAGAUGUAUAUGACUCGUAUUCAUCAUAUGAGGCUAAGAGAAUGGCAGACAAGCAAGCUGAGGAACUCUUUUGUUGGAAUGCCUUCAAGCAAGACCAUCCCAUAGAAAAUUUUGUGGGCCUCUCUAAUCGUAUACUGGAUUAUGCUGACGGCCUUCCAUUGGCUCUUGUAGUUUUGGGUUCUUUUCUCUUUCAAAGGCCUAUGGAUGAAUGGGAAAGCACAUUGGAUGAACUCAAAACAAUCCCUCCCGAGAAUAUUCAAAAGGUACUCCAGAUAAGUUAUGAUGGACUAAGUGAUGAACGCAAGAAGUUGUUUCUUUAUAUUGCAUGCUUCUUCAAAGAUGAGGAUGAAAAAAUGGCAACAAGAAUACUAGAAAGUUGCAAAUUACAUCCCGCUAUUGGACUAAGAGUUCUUCAUGAGAGGUGUCUUAUUUCUAUAGAGGACAACACUAUAAGGAUGCAUGACUUGUUACAAGAAAUGGGUUGGGCAAUUGUUUGCAAUGAUCCAGAACGUCCAGGAAAAUGGAGCAGAUUGUGCGAAUUACAGGAUAUUGAAAGUGUAUUAUCACAAAAUGAGGUAAGAGAAAAAUACAUGAACAUACUUGAGAUCUAAAGACAUAAAAGAUUCAACAAGAUUUAUUUUUAUUAUUAUUAUAGUUUGAGUAUAUUAUCUAUAUAAUUUUAGUGAAUCCCUAUGCAUCUUAUACUGCUCAUUCUCAAUCCUUGUUUUCAGUGGACAAAAAACAUUGAGGGGAUUUUCACAAGUCAGUCUCGCCAUACAGGAAAACAUAUACAACUUACUACUGAAGUUUUCAGAAAUAUGAAUCAACUUAGAUUGCUCAAAGUCGAAUUCAAUCAGAUCGUGCAGCUUUCCCAAGACUUUGAAUUGCCUUGUCAUGAUUUAGUAUAUUUUCAUUGGGAUUACUACCCUUUAGAAUAUUUGCCAUCAAAUUUUCAUACAGACAAUCUUGUUGAACUCAACCUCUGGUGUAGCCGCAUAAAACAUCUUUGGGAAGGAAAUAUGGUAUUGCUAUUAUUUAGUUAUAUUUUUGUUGUAGACUAAUUUUAAAGUCUUUUGAAGUUUACUUCUUGACACAAAUUUUCUUCUGUUACAGCCUGCUAAAAAGUUAAAAGUCAUUGAUCUUAGUUAUUCCAUGCAUCUGGUUGACAUUUCAAGCAUCUCAAGUAUGCCAAAUUUGGAGACUCUAACUCUAAAAGGUUGUACAAGGUUCCUUAAGUGUUUCAUCCAUGCUAAAUGUUAUUAUCAGUCAUGAACUAAUUGUUUUCUUGAAUAUAAUAGGGUGCACGAGACUUAAGAGUCUUCCAAGGAACUUUCCUAAGUUGGAAUGCCUUCAAACACUCUCUUGUUGUGGCUGUUCAAACUUAGAGAGUUUUCCGAAGAUCGAGGAAGAAAUGAGAAGUCUAAGAAAGCUUAAUUUAAGUCAAACAGGUAUAAUGGGAUUACCAUCAUCAAUUAGCAAGCUAAAUGGGCUUAAAGAGUUGGACUUAAGUAGUUGCAAAAAGCUUUCGAGUCUUCCGGACAGUAUUUAUAGUUUGAGCUCUCUUCAAACUCUCAAUCUAUUUGCAUGUUCACGACUAGUGGGCUUUCCGGGUAUCAAUAUUGGAAGUCUAAAAGCUCUUAAAUACUUGGAUUUGUCAUGGUGUGAGAACCUUGAGAGUCUUCCGAAUAGUAUUGGUAGUUUGAGCUCUCUUCAAACUCUUUUAUUGAUAGGGUGUUCAAAACUGAAGGGCUUUCCAGAUAUCAAUUUUGGAAGUCUAAAAGCUCUUGAAUCGUUAGAUUUCUCAGGUUGCAGAAACCUUGAGAGUCUUCCCGUGAGCAUUUACAAUGUAAGCUCUCUCAAAACUUUGGGGAUUACAAAUUGUCCAAAACUCGAGGAAAUGUUAGAGAUGAAACUAGGGGUUGAUCCAUGCCCCUGGCCAUUUUCACCUCUAACCUGUCACAUUUCAAAUUCAGCAAUAAUCUGGGAUGAUCACUGGCAUGACUGCUUUUCCUCAUUAGAAGCAUUAGACUCACAGUGCCCCCUGUCAUCACUGGUAGAAUUAUCUGUAAGAAAGUUUUAUGACAUGGAAGAAGACAUCCCCAUUGGCAGUUCCCACCUAACCUCAUUGGAAAUAUUAUCUCUGGGGAACGUCCCUACAGUAGUAGAAGGAAUCCUCUAUGACAUUUUCCAUCUAUCUUCAUUGGUAAAAUUAUCUCUUACUAAAUGCAAGCCAACAGAAGAAGGAAUCCCCCGUGAUAUUCAGAACCUAUCUCCACUGCAACAAUUAUCUCUACAUGACUGCAAUCUAAUGAAAGGAACGAUCCUCGAUCAUAUUUGCCAUCUAACAUCCUUGGAAGAAUUAUAUCUGGGUUGGAACCAUUUUAGUAGCAUUCCUGCUGGCAUCAGUCGACUUUCCAAUCUAAAAGCCCUUGACUUGAGUCACUGCAAGAAGCUUCAACAAAUUCCAGAGCUUCCAUCUAGUCUACGAUUUUUAGAUGCGCACUGUCCGGAUCGUAUUUCAUCAAGCCCCUUGCUUCUACCUAUUCAUUCUAUGGUCAAUUGCUUCAAAUCAAAAAUUGAGGUAUGAUUCUCAUGCCACGUUCCUUUUUCUUUUGUACCCAUUGGAUUUACAUGGUGCUUUCGUGCAGGGGCGCAAGGUUAUUAAUAGGUAUUCUUCCUUCUAUGGCAAUGGGAUUGGUAUUGUUAUUCCUAGUAGUGGAAUUCUAGAGUGGAUAACGUAUCGGAAUAUGGGAAGGCAAGUAACAAUAGAGCUCCCUCCGAAUUGGUAUAAAAAUGAUGACUUGUGGGGAUUUGCUUUAUGCUGUGUUUAUGUUGCACCUGCCUGUAAAUCUGAGGAUGAAUCUCAGUAUGAAUCAGGUCUUAUAUCUGAGGAUGACAGUGACCUUAAAGAUGAAGAAGCAAGCUUUUAUUGUGAAUUGACAAUCGAAGGAAAUAAUCAAUCAGAAGACGUGGGUCAUUUCUUUCUUCAUUCUCGCUGUAUUAAGGAUGAUGUAUCAGAUAUGCAGUGGGUGAUAUGUUAUCCCAAGUUAGCUAUUGAGAAAAGUUAUCACACCAAUCAAUGGACACACUUCAAGGCUUCAUUUGGUGGUGCCCAAGUGGAAGAGUGCGGAAUCCGUCUUGUAUACAGAAAAGAUUAUGAACAGAAGCAUCCAAGAAUGGCACAAGGCAGUACUUCUCAUGGGAAUUUUGGUGAGCAUGGAUCAGUAAGAGAAGAUACUGAUAGUAAAGCUCACAAUAAAAGGAAUCCCACAGAACAGAGCCCAGGAGAGGAGUCACACCAUAAAAGAUCCAGAGAAACCCAAGACUGAUCUCAAGUAUUAGGCUCAACCACACUUGCAUCACUAAUGCUCUCUUUACUGGUAAUUCAUCUUCCUUUCUCUUUCUAAUUCAAAGGUCAGAAUUUUUUUUUUAUCGUGUUUCUCCUUUUUAUUUGUUUUUUUUUUCCCCAAGACAAACAAAACUUUGAGGCUAUCACCCAUGGGCGCAAACUUCAAUGGUACACCUCCCAAGUUUGUUUUUCUCUCUCUCCAACCGUCUCUCCCUAGAUUUUUCUGCAUUUUCUUCAAACUCAUAUUUCCAUAUGAAAUUCAAUUACAUUCGAGCAUUUCAAUCUCUGUAGCUACUGUCUGAAUCAAUUAUAGGGUUUCUUUUUUCUGGAAGUUUGUAAUGUUAUUGAUUUAAGACUUCAUGUUUGGGGAUGUUUUGGGUGGCUUGUUCACUGGUAUUACUUGUGAUAAUUGCAGCUCUGGUGCUUUCAAUGACUGACAAUAGUUGAAACUAUGUUGAAUGCUUGUACUAAGGGAAUGGACUUCAGCUGCUCCAGGGUUAGUGCUAUAACAUCAGUAUUCACUCUUCAAGAAUGUAUAUAGUUGUUGUUUUGGAAUUUUGAAAUUACUUAGCAUCAGACAAUUUCUAACUCGGGAUUUGGAUUGGGAACCAUAAGUUAUCUCACCCUAGUGUUCUUUGGAAUAAUUAUAGGAUUUUGUAAGUAACUUUGGACUUGUUAGCAAUGUUCUGGAUUUGUGAAUAAUUUAUAGAAUACAUUGGGUGUUUUUUUUUUUUGGUCCAUCAAAAACUUCAAGAACUUUGAGGGUGAAUAAUGUAUGACUGUACUCUUCUCUAUCUCUGUGGUCAUAGCACACGUAUGAUUUGGUGCUUUUUUGCAGGCCUUCAACAGCAGCAAAGCAUCUGGUGGCUUGCAGUACUAAUCUUGCAUUAUAUUCUCUGUUUUGCAAUCAUUUGGUACUUUUUGUCCCAACCAAGGAUAGCUCUGUGCAAGCAGUCUCGACUGUGGAACAAGUAAAACAAAUGGUACCUGCUGAAGCUGAGAGUGCAGAUGAUAAACUGGUGCGGAAGGUGGUCAACCAAAAGAAUCAGACAGCAAAAACUAAAAAGCCCAUGAAGCCUGCUACUGAAGCAGUCUCAGCACCUGUUUCUAGGAGGGGUGAGAUUGAAGUGACUGAAGAAAAGGAGCAUCAGCAAACAAAGAAGGAAGAGGAGUUGGCCAGGAAGGUAGAGGAAUUGAGAAGUGAAGAAGAAGCAGCCAUGUUGAAGGAGCAAAGUCUGUUGGAGGAGAGAAAGCCAACGUUAAGGAGGCACUGGAAAGGCAACAAGGAACUGCAGAAAAGGCCAAUUUCUCUGUGAGUGCUGCCACCUUUUCAUGAUACAGCCAUCAUAAUGGAUGUUAAAAGCAGUCUAACUCUACAUACUUCCUUGCAUUAUACUAGUCAUUGAUGGGCUUAAAUUUUAAUUUAAAUGUAGUAUAAAUAUAUAAGUAGAUUGAUUGGGUCUGAAUUUGAACCUGGUUCGAGUCAUACUCCCAUCCAAUCCAAACUUGUGAUUGGGCUUGAAUUUCUUGGCCCAACCAGCGAAAUCAUUGACCAACGGCCCUUAGUUUGGGCUGGGCUUGAUGGUCCUCAGGUUAUGUAGGCUUAAUACUGAUUGGGUUUGGGCUUCCAUGCAGUUGUACUUGGAUUCUAUGUUUCCUAAUAUUAACACUAAAUUAGGUUUAAUUUAUAAUUAAAUAUAAUUAGUUUGAGACUAACUCCAAUCUUUAGUUAAACCAACUAAGUUUUAUGCAAAGGUUUAUAUUCCUAAUACCAUCAGGUAUUAUAGUAAAUACCAUUGAAAAACUAAAUUCAUGUGGAAGUUUCACUAGGUGAUACGACAUUAAAUUAUUAAGAUAAAAUUAAAAAAAGAUCAUGCUCGUAUGUCCCGUUGUUUGUCAUAAGAGAAUUUCUUUCUAGAUUUUUUUUUUUUUGCUCUUUUCAAUUCUAGAUAUUUUAAUAUAUCUUUACUUUUUCAAAAACAAUCCAUAGGAUUGUUCCCAAACAUAUAUCAUAUAAAUAUAUAUUUUUAAGAUUGAUUUUUAAGAAUGUUAUCAAAUAAACUCAUAAUAGCAUUUUUUUCUUUACAAUUACCAAUUCGUAUGAUGAAUUAAUUACUUUCAAUAACCGACAUCAUCUAAUCAAAAUUAUAAUUAAGUAUCAUAUUAAAAGAGUGUUUAAAAAAUCAAAUUUAAUAACUUAAAGUGAUUUAAUAAUUUAAUUUAAAUUAUUAAAAUAACUUGAUGUCACAAUUUAAAGUUAGAAAUGACUUAAUUUAUUUUUAUUUAAAUUUAAAACUAAGUUUACAAAAAAGGUUUAAAAUUCAUAUCAAUUAAGAAAUUAAGUCAUUAAGUUACUUUAAGCCAUUAAAUUGAUCUACCAAUUAAACACCCUUGAAGAUAUUACAUAAAGUUCACCUUCUACAUAUCAUGAAAAUUUAAAAUUAAUUACAACAUCAAGAAUCUUUAGUUCCUAAUCGAUAUCAUAUUUAAUCCUUGGUUGUAAAUUUCUUUACAUAUGUAGAUAUAUUUUUAUAUUGCAAGUGGGUUGCCGACUUUUCAUUUUAUACUAGUUUUGAAAUUAAGAUUGUAGUUUUUAUUUUGUCCAAAUCUAAUUUGGAGGGAGAAUCUUUAGAGGCUAUUUUAUAUUCAAAUAGGAAAAUUUUAAAUUUAAUAGUCCCACCUUAUAAAGGCAAAUAUCUUGGACCCUACAUGGGUGCCUCUUACAUGCAAAAGGACAAAGACUUAUUGAAAGCCUCUCUCAUUCACAUGGAUGCCAUCAUUCAUCAAAGUUGAAACAUGAAACCCACACAAAAGCAAUUUCAAUAUUUUUUUUCAUAACUAUAGCUGAGAAUCUCAAUAUUAUUAAAUAGUGACAAAAUUAAUUUCAAUAUUUUUUUUUCUUAUUUUUUGCUCCUUGUGGUUAUAUUUUCAUCUGGAAAGUAUUAAAUAUAUUAAAAAAGAAAAAAAUUAUAAAAAAAUUUUUUUCCUAGUUAAUUAUACUAUGAAAAAUAUAGAGUAAAAUAAAAUAUAAUUAAAAUUAGUUAAAAAAUUAUAUUUUUAUAAAAUUAUUUGACUUUUUUAUAAAAAUUUAAAAUAAGUGACAUGAGUUUGAAAUAGUAUAUAUAUUGACUUUAAUUCUUUCAAAUUAAUCACUAGGUUGUUAGAGACAUACACCUAUGAUCCAAAGGUUUUCCCAACAAAGAUAUCAAUAAAUCUUUCUACUCCAUUGAUUGCAUCUUGAAUUCUUUCAAAUUAAUCACUUCAUUGUAAUCAUUAUUCACUUCAUUGUGAUUUGUCAGACAACAAUUCAUUUCUGCUUCAUGGUUGGACCUUGAGGUAAGGCUUUAGAGGCAUAAGCCUCAAAAGCCUCUUAAAAUUGGUUCUACACUUCUUGCAUGAUGAAUGCAAGUUCCAAAUUUUGAUGACUUGGUAAUGUUGGAGUAAUUGGGUUGAAAGCAGUCAAACACAAAUAUUUAUUAAAGAAGAUAAAAAUUUGGAAGAAUUAAAAUUUUAUUGUAUUCUACCACUCUUUUUUUUAUUCAAAUAUUACAUAAUCCUUUAUUAACUAAAAAUGACAUAAUUAAAAGUAAAUUAUCAUUUGAUUGCAAUGGAUUUAAUAGAAUAUGGUGGAUAUGCUAAAUUUUUGUCUGAUAAUAAAAUUUGAUUUGAGUGAAUAUAAUUAGAGUAAAAUAGUCUUUUUAACUAUCACUUUUACAAUAAAAAGUGUUUUAUUUAAACAAAUAUUUAAUAAAAUUUUAAAAACAUUUGAUAAAUAAUUAUUAUAAAAACUCUUCCUCGAAAAUACUUCAAAGUUCGUCGGAUGGUAAAUUAUACAUCAAGAUCUUAAUGAUGGUCCAUGCAACCAUCACCAUUGAUUGUUUUUGAAAACACAACUUCAAUUUAAAUAAUAUUUUAAGGUAACUCCUAGUUAUCAUAUUUUACAAGAUAUUUUUUAAAAUUAUUGUUUUUUUUCUUUCAAAAUCCUAAGAGAGAGGUCACCAAUAUCAAAAUAAUGUGACCCAUCUCUAUACUAUUGUCUCCAUUAUUUGGACUAUAUCAUAGUUUCCUUAUUGACAACAUGGUAGCCAUGUUAAAUACCUACAACUUUGAAAACAAGAUCUCAAAACUAUGCCUAUUUGAUUAUAAGGCUUAAUUAUUAUAGUUUAUCAUUUCCUAGCAUAUAUAGUUCUUAGCAUCUAAGUAUUUGUUAUAUAAGAAUUUUUCUCAUUUUUCAAGCUUGCAUUUUGUUUAGAAAUUUUUUGAGUUUUUUACAAUCAUUUUGAAAAUGUCAACUCAUAAUUAUAUACAUUUUAGUUCUAUAAGGACUAAAAUCACUUAACAUCAUGGUAAUACUAUUUAAGGUAAUUUGCUUUGAAUCAGAAUGAACUUAUAUACAACUUACGAUUUAUGGUAAUAAUAGAGAUCGAAUUUAAAAAUACAUAAGUUUUCAAUUAAAUAUUAAUAUAUUUAUGUUUCCUUCUUAUUUUUAAUCCUAAAACACAUUAAAUGUAUGCUCUUGAAUUCCUCCAUGUAAUGCGAUUUGAUAUAAUGAUAAAUCAACAAUUAUGAUUUAAUAAUAUGGUGCUUUGACUUUUGACAUUUAAGUAACACCGUCAAUAAAAGCUCCAUAUCUUUGCUUCAUGGAAGAACGUACAAAUGAUGUGAUUGAAUUACAUUUCAAUUAUGUUUGAUUCUUUGAAAAUACUCAAGAAAAAUAAAUAUUUAAAAAAAUAAUUUUCUCAUAUUUGAUUUUACUAUAAAAAAAAUACAUAAUUAAAAUUAGUAAUAAAUUUAAAUAAUUUUAAAUUACUUAAUCUUUAUAUAAAAAAGUUAAAUUAGUAAAACGAGUUUAAAACAUGAUAUAAAGGUAAUUUAUUGACUUUAAUUUUUUUUUUUUACUUCACUUUUUCUUUCCUUCUCUUUGAUGAGAUCAUCUUAGAUAAAUUGUUAAUUGAUUGCAGCAUAUUCAAUUGAAUUCGAUAGUCUAGGUAUCAUAAAUCAUACAUGUUGUGCACCAUUUACAGUAAAUGAACCGUCACAAACCAUACAUAGAGGAGAUGUUGAUUUCAUUAUAAAUCAUACGAUAAUUACAAAAGAUAUGAUAUUAACUUGCAGUAAAUUGCAACAUCGGCACUCUAAUGCUAGACAAAGUAACUAGACAAAGUAAGUCUAAUUAUUGCUAACUUUCCUCAUCUUUCUUGGGCCUUUUGGGUGCUUUUUGUGCAAAAGAGAAAAAGCUAUAACUAAAUUGCCAAUCCAUCACCGACGUUAUAGACUGAUGAAGAAUACCAAAGGGAGUGUUACGAAAUAAUGAGAAUAAAUAAUAAGAAAAAUAGAAUAAGAACACAUAGAUAUACGUGAAAAACUUUAGAUGGGAAAAAUCAUGAGAAAACGAGAAAAAGAUCCGUUAUGUCAAAAAUUGGUACAAAAUGGGAGAGUUGAAAGCGACUACAACAAAAGUAUAAUCAUCGUAACCCUAAAACUAUACAUCAUUAUUAUAUAUAUAUAUAUAUGUAUAUAUAUAUAUAUGCGAGAGUUGAGAACAACUAUGGGAUGAGGUCUAUCGACUCGAUCCCUUCACUACCCCCACAAAUCUCUCAAAAAAUCUCAUAAUUUUAACUUUACUACAUAUAUUGCAUCGCGAGCUUUUCGAAUUGAAUAAAAAAGAAUUUGGAAUCAUCAAACAGUAACAAAGGGAGUGAGAUCAUAACUUUGGAAGGAUUUUUUUUUUUUUUAAAUGUAGACUUGAAUGGUAAAUACUAAAAUGUGUUUGAGAGUGAUACUUGAAAGUAUUUUUAAUAUUUUUAAUAUUCGAAAAAUAAAAAAUUUUCAAAUAUUAAAAAUAUUUCCUAAAAUCAAUAUCAAAAACCAUUUUACAAAAUCAGUAUCAAACUAUCAAACAUAAUUUGAAUUUAAAUAGAGACAAGAACAACAUUGACUCUUGACUCACCAAACCAGUCCUAGUUCACUUAUUGAAUGAAAAGAAAAUAAUUAAAAAUAAAUAACAGCAUCCAUUCUACCAUGUUAUGAAGAGUAAAAGACAAUGGAGAUUUUAACUUUGUUGCCUUAAAAGUCAUGCCCCCUUUCAUGAGUAUAUAUAAUAAAAUAUAUUCGUUUGCAUCUCUUGAAUGCAAAUAAUUUGAUAAUUUUUUUAUAAUUAAUUUAUGAAGAUAACAAUUUGAUAAUUAGACAAUUAUGUUGAUAUUUUGACAUUAUUAUCAAUUUACCAAAUAAGAUUGUUUUUCACCCAACAAUAAUUUACUUAGAAUAAUAAAUAAAUUAAAUUAGCUAACGUAACCAAAGCAUUUGAUUAAAAAUUGGUUUUCAUUUACAAAGAUAAGUUGAAAAUUAAUUUUAAUUUGAUUUAAUUAGGAAAUUAAUUUUUUGCUUGUUAAGUUUGUUUUAAUUUGUAAAUUCAUGUAAAUAAAAAAAAGGAUAAAAAGAUAAUUUUCAUGUGAAAAUUCAUUUAAUUUGAAAAUAAAUGAUGUAAUGUGUUUCAUUGUCGGUUAGCAUUUUUCUUUUUUUCUUGUUUGUAUAACUUUUUAAAAUGUAAAAGAUAAUAAUAAAAUAAGAAAUAAUCAAUAAAUUAAAAAAAUAAAAUAAAUGAUCUCACUAAAAAUGUUUUUUUACCUUAUGUCAUAUGACUUGGAUUAUUUUUUUUCUCUUUUCAGUAAAACAAACUUUUAAUAUAAAUAAAAAAAUAAAAUAGGACAUAGAGGAAAAUAGCUAAAGAGUAUAAAAAAAAUUCAAAAUAAUGCACUAAAAAUGGAAAGAGAAUAUGGUGAGUAGUUGAAUAAUAAUAAAUAAAAAAAAGUCAAAAAAGCUUCAAUACUCUUUGAAUCCACUGUUAGUGAAUGCCAAAAGGCAUACAUCAUACACGCAACUAGAAAUAAAAUGGUAAAAUAUAAAGAAAAGAGUCAGAAAAAGCACGAAGACUACAAUUAAUAAUCGUGGCAGGACUUCGACUCUCGUGAACCCCCCACUGUCACUCAAUGCUAUAGGGUUACAGGCUUGGAGCCAAUCAAAGAUAAUUGAGACAGAAGAACCAGACAUCCUCAACACCAUCGUCUCAGACUCUCAGCAUUCAAAGACCCCUUUGUAUUUUCUUCUUCCAAAUUCUGUUCUUGUAAUUUUGUUACAAUCCAACCAUGGCUUCCACUAGCAAUCCCAAGAGACCCUCUUCUUCUUCUAAUUCUAAAUGGAGGUACGAUGUGGUCUUGAGUUUCAGAGGCGAGGAUACCCGCAACAACUUUACUAGUCAUCUCUACAAGGCUUUGGAUCAUGCCAACAUUGAAACCUUUAUAGAUGAUGAAGGACUUCCAAGGGGAGAAGAGAUUGCGCCCGAGCUCCUAAAAGCUAUUGAAGGAUCAAGGAUUGCCCUUAUUGUCUUCUCGAAAAC